GCUUCGGAGCUGAGUCGAGUGAAUGGGCCAAGUGGGUGAAUGAUUUCUUUUCAAGUCUUUUUGUUCAGACUGGUAGAAAGAAGCUGUUCCUGGUUGGCGUGAUGGCACAAACAGCGGUGUACCUGUUGAUUCAACGAUUGCCAUUGCUGUGUCCCGUAACAGCAUUGCUCAUAAAAGUGGACCACACCUGGAGCUUCAGAGGCUCUGAGCAGCUCUUUGUCUGCUAUGAAGGUCAGCAGAAAGGGAAGGCUGUCUCCAAGCGGAGGUUGGCCCUCUGGAUAGUGGAUCAUAUCGCCUUGGCAUACCAAUCCCAAGGGGAGCUGUGCUCCCUGGGGCUGAGGGCUCACUCCACACGGAGUGUUGCCUCCUCCUAUGCGCUGGCGCAUGACGCCUCUCUGGCAGACAUCUGUAGAGCGACACCGAGCACCUUCACAAGAUUUUACAGUCUCUGUGUUGAGCUGGUUUCCUCCUGUGUGUUGGGUAAGAGGUACAGUAAGUGGCGGGAAGAGCCGGCCAAUGUCACUCUUGCUGCGACAUUCCCCCUCACCCCAGACGGCGAACCCUGGUUGAGUAUCCUCCAGCACCCCCGGCAGUCAGACUGGCCGGAGCAGUCUAACACCAGGCCCAGUAUUGGUGUUAGCUUGCACGGGUUUCCGGUCAGCCCCUUUACUGGGCUAGGUGUCCAUAUGGCUUGUUUCCCUGAGGGCGAUCCCAUAUGUGUAUGCUUCCAUGGUAAGGUUCCUCUCUCGGUGAACCCAUGUCUUCCGUUUGACAGACCACUCUGUCAGUCUCUGCUGGCAGCCGUUCCUCCCUACUCCUAGGUAGGACUUGCCUCAGAGACCGAUUCAGUCCAUAUCAGUGUCUCCACAUGAAACCUCCUAACGGGCAGGAUGUGGUCUCCAUAGCGCCCUUCGCCGGAAGACUCGCUUCCCCUUCAUUACUGCCAAGCUGUAAACAACAAACAGGAAAGGCGUGAAGCGCCAUAGAACAGCCCCUUGGCUAUCUCCAGCAGCAUUGUACUCACCUUUUGGUCCCUGCGGGCACCAAGGUCAGCG
ensembl:lncRNA